rnacentral:lncRNA from 1 species
CUCACCCCAUCUCUACUGGUAUUAUACUAUAAGGAAGGCUCACCCCAUCUCUACUGGUAUUAUACUAUAAGGAAGGCCCACCCCAUCUCUACUGGUAUUAUACAAUAAGGAAGGCCCACCCCAUCUCUACUGGUAUUAUACUAUAAGGAAGGCCCACCCCAUCUCUACUGGUAUUAUACUAUAAGGAAGGCUCACCCCAUCUCUACUGGUAUUACACUAUAAGGAAGGCUCACCCCAUCUCUACUGGUAUUAUACUAUAAGGAAGGCCCACCCCAUCACUACUGGUAUUAUGUAUUAUACUAUAAGCAAGGCCCACCCCAUCUCUAAUGGUAUUAUACUAUAAGGAAGGCCCACCCCAUCUCUACUGGUAUUAUACUAUAAGGAAGGCUCACCCCAUCUCUACUGGUAUUAUGUAUUAUACUAUAAGGAAGGCCCACCCCAUCUCUACUGGUAUUAUACUAUAAGGAAGGCCCACCCCAUCUCUA